CCGUAUCAGGAAGGACCUGGACGAGCAGUGGGAGGAGGCGUCUGAGGAUGUGAGACAAACCUACGGGAGGGACUACCUUGACGAGCAAUUCCAGGCAGCCAUUGCCUCCUCCUCAACCAGCUUCCCUACUCUUCAUCCCAUUAUGGUCGCUUUCAAGGAUGCACUGUUGAACGAGCAGCCACAAAAUAGAUAUUUAACUGAUGGUAGCAAUGGCCUGUACGACCCAUAUUGUCUGUGUGCCCGCUUAUAUAGCGUUCUUCCCGAGACGUGGAUGGACAAAGUUGUAGACUAUUAUUUUGGAGGAGGACCCAUUGCUGAUGCCCUGAAAAAGGAAGCAUGAAGAGUAUAGCGCUGGUUAUCUAUCGUACAAAACAAUACUCCUGAUUACAGAGUUGUGUUGAUUUUUAGUACGUGUUGAUUCCGAAGUAGAAACAAAUGCAAAUAGUGAACCGGAAAUCAACCCGUAAAACAAUAAGUGUGAAAGCAACAAAGCAGCUUGAUGUAAUUUACAACUGUGUACUAAAAUUAACUAAGUAAACAAAUUCAUACUAAUUACUACAAAUGCAUUACCAGACAGACAGGUUUAUUCGGUAAUUUAGGCCCAAGGCCCAUAAUACAUACAUUUGGCAAAAGUAAAUACAUACUGAGUAAGGCUGAGUAUAGUUUAGUAUUGAUU